UCCGGUGGUUCUGAAUGGAAGGGCCAUCGCUCAACGGAUAAAAGGUACUCCGGGGAUAACAGGCUGAUACCGCCCAAGAGUUCAUAUCGACGGCGGUGUUUGGCACCUCGAUGUCGGCUCAUCACAUCCUGGGGCUGAAGUAGGUCCCAAGGGUAUGGCUGUUCGCCAUUUAAAGUGGUACGCGAGCUGGGUUUAGAACGUCGUGAGACAGUUCGGUCCCUAUCUGCCGUGGGCGCUGGAGAACUGAGGGGGGCUGCUCCUAGUACGAGAGGACCGGAGUGGACGCAUCACUGGUGUUCGGGUUGUCAUGCCAAUGGCACUGCCCGGUAGCUAAAUGCGGAAGAGAUAAGUGCUGAAAGCAUCUAAGCACGAAACUUGCCCCGAGAUGAGUUCUCCCUGAGACUUAGAGUCUCCUGAAGGAACGUUGAAGACGACGACGUUGAUAGGCCGGGUGUGUAAGCGCAGCGAUGCGUUGAGCUAACCGGUACUAAUGAACCGUGAGGCUUAACCUUACA
rnacentral:rRNA from 1 species